AACACAAUAUAAACACAAUAAAGUAAGUGCAAUGUAUAUGAUGAUGAUGAUGCACGAGGUCAUCGCACAACCUCCGAGAUCGUCGCACAAUCCCCGUAUACAUCUACGGGGCUAAAGUUUCAUGAUGUAGGACUCAUGGGGGUUCGUCAACCUGUAUACAAUUCACAUAUCUCAUAUCUCCUUUCUAGUACAUUCCUUGAAAAAGGUUUUAUAAGUUAUUACAAUUUCUCCUCCCCGG
rnacentral:lncRNA from 1 species